UACAGAGGUCCCAAGCGUUGUUCGGAUUCACUGGGCGUAAAGGGUGCGUAGGCGGUCGGGUAAGUCUGAUGUGAAAUCUCCAAGCUCAACUUGGAAAUGGCAUCGGAUACUAUUCGGCUCGAGGAAUGGAGGGGAGACUGGAAUACUUGGUGUAGCAGUGAAAUGCGUAGAUAUCAAGAGGAACACCUGCGGCGAAGGCGGGUUGCUGGGCCGACACUGACGCUGAGGCGCGAAAGCCAGGGGAGCGAACGGG
rnacentral:rRNA from 1 species